ACCUAUCUUGUUUCCCUAUUGGCCAACAGUGCUUUAUUUAUCAACCAAUAAGACAACAUAUACACAGAAGAACUUCCCCCAUCAGGAGAGUCAUCUCUUUCAAGUUGUCUGGAGGAGGCUCUGACCUGAUGGGCUUCUUUGAAAUUGUGCAGUCACCAUCUGGAAAAAUUAUACCUGCUCAGCAGAGCGGAUGGAAAACGCUACAAACUUCCUCAAUGGGCUGGAUAUGGCACAUGUUCUCUUGAACUAAGAGAAUCUUACAUACAAGGAAGUUUUGCCUUUGUCUGUAGGAUUUCAUGCAGAGCCAACAUUCUGUGGUAACUUUAUCUUCCCCAGGGCUGCUCUCAGUUAAAGAGUAAGUUCUUUCUGGGCAGAGGCCCUUCAAGAGGACUGAGUAACUGGCCUCAAGGUGUGCAUUCAAAACCAUCAGAGGCCCUCUGAAGGUAGUUCUCAACUGAGGAAUAGUGCAAGAUAAAAACACACCGCUGUGGCCUGGAGAGAGUUGGAAAAGUGCUUGCCUUUCCUAAAAAUGCCAGGGACAUCACUGUUGAGAGACGCAUCCGAGUUCAUCCCUGCUGUCUGCCAAGAAGCCCAGCAAAAAGCAGGGCUCUUUCCAAAAAAUCAAGACCAAGACUUCUGUCAGAGAACCAAAGUGUCCCCCAGUGUCAGGCAGUAACACAUCCACUCCUUAGGAAGGAGUCAGUUUCUGGAGUAAAUUCGCGCAGUGCCUGCGGAGGCCAGAAGAGGGCGUAUGAUUCCUGGAAACUGGAGUUUCAGGUGGUUGUGAGCUCACCGGUAUGAGUACUGGUCCUCUGCCAAGAGCAAGUGUUCUUAACCGCUGAGCCAUCUCUCCUGCCCUAACUGCACACUUACAGGUGAUACCAUCUGUCACAACAUCAGAAGGUCGUACGGCCCUGCCGGGCAUUUUUGCUAGGUGUAGAUACACCAGGAUCAAGAUAACCGUGGCAUUAUCAUGAUCCAUCUCAUAUUGAAGUGAUAGUUAUACAAGAAAAUUAAAUGCAGUGCACAAAAUGACCAAGCACACAGGCAGACGUGGUUCCUUCUUCAAGAGACUGCAUGACGGGUAAUUAGAUAAACAGGGUAAUUUAAUAAUAGUUCUGAGAAACCACAAGGAAUCUCAAAACUGAAGGUAAAUUUCACACAUUCUUAAUGCAAAAAGUAAUGAAUACACAGCAACAGAUGUUAGUUAGCUUUUAAUCAAAAUGCAAUGCAGACCUAUAACAAAAUAGCAUAUGUAUCACAUAAGUAUAAACAAUGAUUUGUUAAUUAUGAAUGAUUUUUUUCCAACUUAAAAAACAUGUUAAAAAUUUCA